rnacentral:rRNA from 1 species
UGCGUAGGCGGUACCUUAAGUUAGAUGUGAAAUACCUGGGCUUAACCUGGGACGUGCAUCUAAUACUGGGGAACUAGAGUGCAGGAGAGGGAAGCGGAAUUCCUAGUGUAGCGGUGAAAUGCGUAGAUAUUAGGAGGAACACCAGUGGCGAAGGCGGCUUUCUGGACUGUAACUGACGCUGAGGCACGAAAGCGUGGGGAGCAAACA